rnacentral:lncRNA from 10 species
GCUCCGACGAACACAUGACCCAGCUGGUCCCUGGAGAAGGAGGCAAAGGCUUUGAGGCAUUCAAUAAGGCAACGCUGCACACUCAAGUCACGAGGCUUCCUUGCCCUCCAGUUACUAGCUGUGUGACCUUGGGUGAGUCACUUAACCUCUCUGUGCCUCAGAGGCCUCAUCUAUAAAAUGAGGGUUUCAAUUUUGCCUAACUUAGAGCCGUGGUGAGGAUUACAGAUGAUCUUCCUGGAACAGCUGGAGUGGCUCCUGGCGCAUAGUAGACACUCGACACAGCGGAAGCUGUUGUUCCCUGUUCUAUGCUGAAACCACAGGACAGGGUCCCUCUCUGCUCCACCAGCAGGCUUCCUCCCCAGGUCUCAUGUGACUCCAGCCAGCCACACACGCUGACCCUCUGCCAACCCAGCCAGACCUCUGUUCUCAGGGCGUUAAAUGCAAGGGGAAGGCCACGUUGACAACCAACUGCAGCCACGCCUCCUCUGCCCUCCCCAGGAGCCUGGGCUGAAGACUUCAUCUGCUGUAAUUAACAAGCCAACUGCAGCUGUCUUGCUCCAUUAAUAGCAGAUCAGCCUGUCGGGCGAGGGCUGACAGGGAGGUUGUGAACAGAAAGCAAGGUCUAUUGGUUCCUGUAUCUCCAG